GAUUCCCACCACCCCGCACUGCCCGACGCCCGCCACAGCAGCGGCUCCGCCCUAUCCCCGGAGCCUACAACUCUUGCCAGGGUGCCGCCGGGGCCGUGAUGGACUCUCUGGCGCUCCGUAAGCGCAUGCUUCCGCCCUCGACAAAGAUGGCUGCGUACGCCGUCUCACUUCGCCCUUGGCCGUUAUCGAAUACCCUACUGUCUUUCAUUCUCGCGUCACUGUUGACGGGGAUGGCGCCGAUUCCGAAGACUGCGGGGCUAAUCAAGUUAGGCAAACAGGUUAUCUCCAGGACUGCUGGCAGCUGCCUUACAACAGAGCCAGGAGCUGGCAAAGUUGGGUACCAGCUUUGCUCAAAAUGGUUUCUACCACAAGGCCAUGGUCCUGUUCACCUGAGUCUUGAAGCUCAACCCCCAGGACCACUAGUAGGUUAUUUGGAAAUUGCUCAUUCCGCAAUGAACAGCUGGGUCAGCGGGUGUGAGCCCUGACUGAUGCAGCCCCGGGGGCCUCUUCUGCCUGGGCAAGGCUGUGAUGGGACUGCAGGUCUGAGCAGGACCAGCGAAGAGGAAUCCCUGGGCUGCCUGCCUCCGUCAACCGAAUUCCUCCAUCCAUUUUUCCAUGUUGAGCUGGGGCCUUUAAGCCUCUUCUCCUGCAGUUGCCCUGGAAGUACUGCCCCAAGGGCCCCUGGCCUUCUGUCUCCACCCCUGCAUUAUCCCCAACCUGAGCCACUCUGGUCCCUCCCCUAGACUCAGAGCAGAAGACCCAGUCCUCUCUACCUCCAGGACUCCUCAAAGGGCUGGGGCAUCCUGGAACUUGGGCCCCAGCAUCUACCUCACACCAGAUGAAGGAGCACGUGUCCCUAAUAAGGCAGGGCCGUGUGUGCCUCCCACAGGGAUAAAGGACAUGGCGUAGUAGCAGUUCACUGCACAUUUUGAGACCUGAACUCUAAAACCACGGUGGGAACAUCCCCGACAGUAAUACCUCUUCACACAGAGACCCUCUGAUGAGAGAAAGGAGCCCUGCAUCCACUGAAAUAGCCUUUCUUUGGUUCUUAAGCAGAUGGCUUCUUCUGGGAGCAGUAAGGAAGAAUAAAAUCCCUCAAGGCUCAAGAAGGGAUCUGUACAAAAAUUCAGAUUUUCAGACUAUAACAGACCUGUCUGUAGGGGCAUCUGAAGCUUGCUGUUGGUCUUGGGGAACUCAUCAGCCAGAGCUCUGUGCUCAGGAAUGGGGUCACAGUAAUGAAUAAGGCUUAAGUCUUGAUCUUCAGCUUGAUGGAUGCUCACUUCUUCCUAAUCCCAGUUCUCACCAUGUUUUCUCAAGCCUCAGUUCUCAUGCCUUGUUUCCUGUUCACACUUCUAUGCGUAUUCUGACCUCUCCUUUGUCCAGUGGUUCUGAUGCUCACCUCCUUCCACCGCUAGAAGAUUCACCAAGGGUGUGCAUUUGGGAAGCCCCUUAGCAGCCCCUUGCUGGAGCUGGCAGAACCCAUACAUCUCCAUAUACCCCACCUGCUGGCUCUCCCACUGAUGCGGCCUCAGCAGGUACACAGGCUUCUGCUACUUUGGUCACACUCUUUCUCCACUCCAGCGCAGGGCUUUGUAACUAGCAUUUCCCCCAUGUGAAUUUACUUAGUUUUUCUAUUCAGGGUCACUGCCCCUAAAAAUACUAAAAUUCUCUAAUUUCUCUAUAAGAAACACGACCUCCUUCUAGUUGUUCCUCUAAGACCUUGACAGCUCCUCCUGGCUGGUUCCUCCCGGGCUCUGCUUGGGACUCUCAGUUCAUUAAAAUGCGGAUCCGCAGGCCUCCCAGUAUGCUUUUCUUAGGAGAACCAUUUAUCAGGAUAAAUGACUCUUGCCGCCAUGUGGGUGUUACUCAACACCAUUUGUACCUAGAGAUAGGAGGUGCUGAGACACCUCCUUUGUUUAAGGCUUUCCCAAAUUCUUUUGUUUAUGGUUGCAGGCCUCUUAAAUCCUGUAUGGCAGAAUGCAGUCUGUCAUUACAAGCUGUGUCACCUUGGGCAGAUUUCUUAACUCCUGUGCUUCACUUCCUCUUCUGUACAAUGUGGACGAUCCCUACCUCACAGGGCUGCUAUGAAGGCUGAAAGAGAAAGCGUGAGAAAAUACCUACCAAAAGUCUGGGACAUAGCGAGUGUUCAAUAAACUGAUUUUUCUCUGUA